UACGAGGGGGGCAAGUGUUGUUCGGAAUCACUGGGCGUAAAGGGCGCGUAGGCGGCUUGGCAAGUGGAAGGUGAAAUCCCUCGGCUUAACCGAGGAACUGCCCUCCAAACUGCUUUGCUUGAGGCCGGGAGAGGUGAGUGGAAUUCCCAGUGUAGCGGUGAAAUGCGUAGAUAUUGGGAGGAACACCAGUGGCGAGGGCGGCUCACUGGACCGGUUCUGACGCUGAGGCGCGAAAGCGUGGGGAGCAAACGGG
rnacentral:rRNA from 1 species